CGGGGGCUAGCUCAGCUUGGCUAGAGCGCGCGGUUUGGGACCGCGAGGUCGCCGGUUCAAAUCCGGCGCCCCCGA
rnacentral:tRNA from 1 species